GAUUUACGUCGAGUAAGGCUGCUCGAUUGCACGACACGCCGCUCUGCUUACUAACAAGUUCCAAAGCCUUGCACGUGAGCACGAAUUGCAAGAAAAGCACAACGGAAAGCUUCCUGUCGAACUCCACAUAGAGAUGCAUUACAAAUGGAUGUUCCUGGGCAUAGUGAUGGCUGCCAUUGUUGCCACAACAGUUGCCAGAUCGCAUCUCAGGCAAGAGGGUCCGAUCAAAUGUCCCAACGUCGUUGUCAGGCAACACCCGGAGAUCUAUAGGCUCCGGGAAGUAGCCGAGGAGAGGAAGGACAAAGAGAAAGUCAAGCCGAAUAAUCACAAGGACAAAGGCAGCAAGGAGGACAAAGGCAGCAAGGAGGACAAAGGAAAGAAAGACAGUGAUGAAAGCAAAGAUAGUGACGAAAGCAAGAGUGACGAGAAUUCGAGUGGCGAACAUUCUGGUGAAUUGAUAACCACGACUUUGGGCACACAGACCACGAGUGAAUUCCAACCCACCGACGAUCCUAUUAGCUCUUCUUAUACCACCACGACACCGUUUGUAUAUCUGUUCCCAUGCACGGGAUUCUGCCGGGAGUUCUGUCUUGUCACCGAGAGAGAGGAGACGAAGGAAUCGUGCGCACCUUUUGUUUGGUGCAAAUGCUGCGUCAGCCGGUAAAACUACUUGAUUCUUAAUUCCACGCUUUGUGUGCUACUGGAUUUUAGUUCAUAAUUGAUCGACGUGACUGAUUCGUUAUUGGUAUGAAGCAUUGUGGUUGACUUCGCGAGAUCCAUUCACUUUUACGUAAGAAGAAGAAGACAUUGCUUAAUUAUUGUGGACGCUGCUCGGACAGUGAAGAGUCUAGCAGUUUAUCCAUCUCUGAAAUAUUAUUGGACUUUGAAGAUACCAAUGUAAUUGUACAAAUAGAAUAAAUUCUUGUUUUGAUUAAUUCAAGUAAAUCAGUUUAGGUAUAUGAUGUCAAAUGGAAUACAUUUUCUGCUAAUGAUACGUUGUUCGUAUUAAUGCCAUAUCUAAUUAAUAUUAUUUAUAAAUGAAGUGGAUUGUUGUGUCUUAUCUCAUAUAAUAUCUGAUUAAACUAAUUUAGUGA